GUGGUUUGUCUUCAUGGUCUUCAGUCUUCACAGAGACAACAGUCAGUGGCAACUUGGUGAGAUCAGCCUCCUCCUGCCCUAGAAGACACUCUCCCUCCUGGCUGAUCCAGAGAUCUCCCUCUUUAAUGUGGGAUGGCUCUGGCUCCUCCUCUUCUCCUUCUUCAAUGUGAGGGGCGGAUCGCAACCAACGUUAUAGGUGCAUUACGCUACCUACUGUACUGGAGUGUGGAUUCUCAGGACAAGCACCGAUGAUGGACCCACUGGAGCAGAUAGCGGCGCCGUGGGACG